AGUUCAGCCCAAGCACGUCUAAAUGUGACACCAAAGGGCCAGACGCGAGUCCCGAGAGCGUCAAAAAGCGACUCCAAGAGUCCCGACCAAGCGCACCGGAGUGUGUAGCUAAAGGAGA